rnacentral:misc_RNA from 1 species
GAUGUUGGAACUUUGACACCAGCUUUGCAGUUACGCAAAGUAGCUCACGAAGGAUGUGUCAAUCGUAUACGUGCAAUGACACAAAAUCCCCAUAUAUGUGCAUCUUGGUCAGAUACUGGUCAUGUUCAGAUAUGGGACUUUAGUGCUCAUCUGAAUGCUUUAGCACAAUCAGAAGCAGAAGUUAACCAGGGAGGCUCUUCAGUUUUUAAUCAGGCUCCUUUAUUNUUUAAUUAAGUUUGGAGGGCACAAAGAUGAAGGUUAUGCAAUAGAUUGGAGUCCUCGUGUUACUGGAAGGCUGGUAUCUGGUGACUGCAAGAAUUGUAUUCACUUAUGGCAGCCUAC